GAUUUUCUUGAGCCAAUGGCGAG
rnacentral:piRNA from 1 species